ACGAUGAAGAGUUUGAUCCUGGCUCAGGAUGAACGCUAGCGGCAGGCCUAACACAUGCAAGUCGAGGGGUAACAUAGGAAAGCUUGCUUUUCUGAUGACGACCGGCGCACGGGUGCGUAACGCGUAUACAACCUACCUUUUAGCGGGGAAUAGCCCAGGGAAACUUGGAUUAAUGCCCCAUAGUAUAUAGA
rnacentral:ncRNA from 1 species